CUUGACAUCCAGCGAACUUUCCAGAGAUGGAUUGGUGCCUUCGGGAACGCUGAGACAGGUGCUGCAUGGCUGUCGUCAGCUCGUGUUGUGAAAUGUUGGGUUAAGUCCCGCAACGAGCGCAACCCUUAUCCUUUGUUGCCAGCGAUUCGGUCGGGAACUCAAAGGAGACUGCCGGUGAUAAACCGGAGGAAGGUGGGGAUGACGUCAAGUCAUCAUGGCCCUUACGAGUAGGGCUACACACGUGCUACAAUGGCGCAUACAAAGAGAAGCGACCUCGCGAGAGCAAGCGGACCUCAUAAAGUGCGUCGUAGUCCGGAUCGGAGUCUGCAACUCGACUCCGUGAAGUCGGAAUCGCUAGUAAUCGUGGAUCAGAAUGCCACGGUGAAUACGUUCCCGGGCCUUGUACACACCGCCCGUCACACCAUGGGAGUGGGUUGCAAAAGAAAUAGGUAGCUUAACCUUCGGGAGGGCGCUUACCACUUUGUGAUUCAUGACUGGGGUGAAGUCGUAACAAGGUAAGCGUAGCGAG
rnacentral:rRNA from 1 species